GACGAACGCUGGCGGCGUGCCUAAUACAUGCAAGUCGAGCGAGCGGAACUAACAGAUUUACUUCGGUAAUGACGUUAGGAAAGCGAGCGGCGGAUGGGUGAGUAACACGUGGGGAACCUGCCCCAUAGUCUGGGAUACCACUUGGAAACAGGUGCUAAUACCGGAUAAGAAAGCAGAUCGCAUGAUCAGCUUUUAAAAGGCGGCGUAAGCUGUCGCUAUGGGAUGGCCCCGCGGUGCAUUAGCUAGUUGGUAAGGUAAAGGCUUACCAAGGCGAUGAUGCAUAGCCGAGUUGAGAGACUGAUCGGCCACAUUGGGACUGAGACACGGCCCAAACUCCUACGGGAGGCAGCAGUAGGGAAUCUUCCACAAUGGACGCAAGUCUGAUGGAGCAACGCCGCGUGAGUGAAGAAGGUUUUCGGAUCGUAAAGCUCUGUUGUUGGUGAAGAAGGAUAGAGGUAGUAACUGGCCUUUAUUUGACGGUAAUCAACCAGAAAGUCACGGCUAACUACGUGCCAGCAGCCGCGGUAAUACGUAGGUGGCAAGCGUUGUCCGGAUUUAUUGGGCGUAAAGCGAGCGCAGGCGGAAGAAUAAGUCUGAUGUGAAAGCCCUCGGCUUAACCGAGGAACUGCAUCGGAAACUGUUUUUCUUGAGUGCAGAAGAGGAGAGUGGAACUCCAUGUGUAGCGGUGGAAUGCGUAGAUAUAUGGAAGAACACCAGUGGCGAAGGCGGCUCUCUGGUCUGCAACUGACGCUGAGGCUCGAAAGCAUGGGUAGCAAACAGGAUUAGAUACCCUGGUAGUCCAUGCCGUAAACGAUGAGUGCUAAGUGUUGGGAGGUUUCCGCCUCUCAGUGCUGCAGCUAACGCAUUAAGCACUCCGCCUGGGGAGUACGACCGCAAGGUUGAAACUCAAAGGAAUUGACGGGGGCCCGCACAAGCGGUGGAGCAUGUGGUUUAAUUCGAAGCAACGCGAAGAACCUUACCAGGUCUUGACAUCUAGUGUCAUUUGUAGAGAUACAAAGUUCCCUUCGGGGACGCUAAGACAGGUGGUGCAUGGCUGUCGUCAGCUCGUGUCUCGAGAUGUUGGGUCAAGUCCCGCAACGAGCGCAACCCUUGUUAUUAGUUGCCAGCAUUAAGUUGGGCACUCUAAUGAGACUGCCGGUGACAAACCGGAGGAAGGUGGGGACGACGUCAGAUCAUCAUGCCCCUUAUGACCUGGGCUACACACGUGCUACGAUGGACGGUACAACGAGUUGCGAACUCGCGAGAGUAAGCUAAUCUCUUAAAGCCGUUCUCAGUUCGGACUGUAGGCUGCAACUCGCCUACACGAAGUCGGAAUCGCUAGUAAUCGCGGAUCAGCAUGCCGCGGUGAAUACGUUCCCGGGCCUUGUACACACCGCCCGUCACACCAUGGAAGUUUGCAAUGCCCAAAGUCCGUGGCCUAACCAUUUGGAGGGAACCGCCUAAGGCAGGGCAGAUGACUGGGGUG
rnacentral:rRNA from 1 species